CCAACAUUCAGCCAACAUUCAGCCAACAUUCAGCCAACAUCCAGCCAACAUCCAGCCAACAUCCAGCCAACAUCCAGCAAAUAUCCAGCAAACAUCCAGCAAACAUUCAGCAAAUAUCCAGCAAACAACCAGCUGACAUCCAACCAACAUUCAUCCGGCAAUCUAGAGAUUUCACUUCGUGCUGUUGUUGUCUUACGUGUGGAUGGCGCGACAGAUAACCUCUGACCCCUGACCCGCCUUCCUCAGAGUGAUGGCCAAGUUUUUAGACCGGUUGGCAUCCAGCAGAGAAACUUUGGACGGAGCUUUCUGAGGAAGUUUCUGUCUGGAAAGAGUCAAGUCCACCGCCGGACCCUGAGCCUUCGUCUUAAACAGCUCCUCAAACUCCUCCACGUUAAUGUCCUGAGAGAGGGACAGGUACAGAGAGACAGUCAGGUACAGAGAGACAUACAGAGAGACAGACAGGUAUUAUAAUGUCAGUCUGUUACCCCAAGGAUGGUCUCGUCGUCGAUGUCGUUGAAGACGGUCCCGUUGAUCUGGCUCGGCUUCAGAGCCACCCAGUUCAACACCGGCAUCCGGAACUUGGUCUGGAUCGGCUUCUUUAUCUUCACCGCUGCACGCAGAGUGACAGGUUCUGACCCGGAUCUGGUCCAGCUCCUUGUUGGUCUGCAUCAGCUGCUUCUCCAGUUCCACGAUCUUCAGCAUCGCCUCGUUCUCCACGUCCAGCACCCGGGCAGACAUCUUAGAGACGGACAUUGAGACAGACAGGUCAGAAAGACAGUUUUGAAGUUGUCGAAGGCCAACAGGAUGAUCUCAUGUCCUCCUCUGACCAAACAAACUGCAGCCAGCAACUCCAACACCAGAGCCUUUGUCCUGACGACGAGAGACAGGUGAGAGACAGUCUCCACAGAGAAUCUGGCGCAUCCAACCGGCCUCAGAACUACAGACCAGGACCCCCACACCAGACCAGGACCCCCACAUCCAGCCUCUCCACAUCCAACAGACCACAGACCUGAUCUACUCUCUGUGAAGGAGACGUGUUGCACUGCGUGAAGCCAGUGGUGGUCACAUCAGACACUGAACCCCCCCUCCCCCAACCCGUUACUACAGUAACCAAUGUCUGUUUUGAGCUUAAAGCUCAGCUGUGAGGUGGGUUAUUAAAACACGGAUUGAACCCAAUUUGUGAGGGUUAGUAAUAAUAGUAGUGAUAACAGUAAUAGUAGUGAUAACAGUGAUACCCUAUAUAUAUAUAUAUAUAUAUAUAUAUAUAUACACUGUCUACUGUAUAUUAGUACAGUAUUUACUCGCCUACAUUCUGUCUGAACAGUUUGUUAUCAACAGAUGGAGGAUCCUAACCUGACUACUGAAGGAAAACCAGAAUAAUACUUAAAUACAAUACAUACAAAUAAGUGAAAUUCAUAAAACCCCAAAAAAAGAAUAAAAUAACGAAAAAAUAAAUAUGCAAAAAGACGAUGGCUAUAAUCCCUGAUCAGUGUGUCCAUGAAGUCACAGUACAACAUGCUAUUCGUGUGUGCGCGCGCGUGUAUUAAAAAGGUAUUGUGGUUGUCUAUUCUGUGUAGCUUGUGUAUUAUGGAUGUGUGUGUAUAAUGUAAAUAAUGGUAUAUAUAUAUAUAGUGUGCAGUG